CCAUAGAAGAAGAAGACAAAACAGGAAACAGAGGAAACACACAAAAAGGAUUGUUAAGUGGAAUUAAUGCAACUGACCACUUUUAGUCACUUCAACGUUCAAACCUUUAAUUCUUUCCCCCAAAACAAAAAAAGUUCAAACCUUUAAGCUUAAAAAAAAAAAAGAAGGCUACUCAAAAAACAAAGACCCAAUAAAUUUUCUCCAAUUUCUUCACUUCAUUUGCAUUUCCAGCUGAAAUGGAAGCAGAAAAUGAUGAGUACAAGAGAAAAGAGCGCUUAGUGCUGGUGACAAUCCUAGUCUUUGCUUCUCUUGCCAUUGCUUCUUUGCUGGUGGCCUUUAGCUACUAUUGCUACAUUAGGAACAAAGUCUCCAGGCGCUUGGAAAAAGCGAGGAAAACGGUUGCUAAUGAGGAGAAAGCAAGCAGUUUUGCAAAUAUUCAAGUUGCUACUCAGAAAGGGCUUCAGGUUUUCACCUUCAAGCAGCUGCAUUCUGCAACUGGUGGUUUUGGGAAGUCUAAUAUAAUAGGACAUGGUGCAUUUGGUUCUGUCUAUAGAGGAGUGCUUCAAAAUGGGAGGAAGGUUGCAAUUAAGUUAAUGGAUUCGGCUGGAAAGCAAGGAGAAGAGGAAUUCAAAGUAGAGGUGGAACUUCUAAGUCGACUGCAUUCACCUUAUCUGCUGUUGUUGAUUGGCUACUGCUCAGAAAGCAAUCACAAAUUGCUGGUCUAUGAGUUCAUGGCAAACGGUGGUCUGCAGGAACAUUUGUAUCCCAUCAGUGGUUCUAAUAACGUCUCUUUGAGCUUGGACUGGGAUACUCGGUUGUGUAUUGCAUUAGAGGCGGCAAAAGGCUUGGAGUAUCUGCACGAACAUGUUAGUCCCCCGGUAAUUCACAGAGAUUUUAAAAGCAGCAACAUUCUUUUGGAUAGAAAUUUUCAUGCCAAAGUUUCUGACUUUGGGUUGGCCAAACUUGGAUCUGAAAAAGUUGGUGGGCAUGUUUCGACCCGGGUUUUGGGUACUCAAGGAUAUGUUGCCCCGGAAUAUGCAUUAACUGGGCAUCUGACAACAAAAUCAGAUGUCUAUAGUUAUGGUAUUGUUCUGCUGGAAUUGCUGACGGGCAGAGUACCAGUUGAUAUGAAGAGGCCUCCAGGCGAAGGUGUUCUUGUAUCCUGGGCAUUGCCACGACUCACAGAUAGAGAAAAGGUUUUAGAGAUUAUGGAUCCUAGAUUGGACGGUCAAUACUCAAUGAAGGAUGUUAUCCAAAUUGCGGCCAUUGCCGCAAUGUGUGUACAGCCUGAGGCUGACUACAGACCGCUGAUGGCUGAUGUUGUGCAAUCCCUGGUCCCAUUAGUCAAAAACCACCGUCCAACCUCAAGGGCUGGUAGCUGUUCUAGCUUCCAUGGUCCCCAGUCUCCGAAGGUUUAGCAGGACAGUGAUAAAGCAAGCAGGUGAAAAUAAUGGACUAAAAUUCGUCUUUGUGGUUCUGAAUUGUUCUAUCCUUGUAAGCUAACAACUGGAGGGAACACUUCCAUCAGUUAUUCAAGACUCCUGCAUUCUGUAUCUCUUUUGACAGAAACUAGAUUAUCAUGAUCUGGUCAUGGAUUGCAGUUUCUGUGUGCGAUGAAGGGUGCUGGAGCUAUUUGUCAUGCAGUUCUCAAUUUUGAAUGCUCCUAUUGCUUCUUCUUAUCUUAACCUAAUAAGUCAGAAGUAGCUCCUUGUUAGUUGGUGCAGCGUUCUUUGAAUGUCCAGUGUCAUUUGGUAAAGUGUCCUUUUCCUCUACUUGUACAAAUUUGCUCUUUAGUCACGUUUGGGCUAAGGCUAUAUCUGAUUGGCCCAUCUCAUUUGACAGCAUCAACUUAGCAGUACUUGCUUCACUGUUGAUUUUAUGGGGAUCGCAGCAUGCCAUUCCUUUGCCAUGGUCUGCAAUGAGUAGGUAGCUUAGGACCAGCCACAUUCUACUGUUUUUGGCUUCUCGAAGUGGGGGGUCAAAUGUACUCUGCAAUGCAAUACAAUUUGUCUUUGACAAGUUUUUGGAAGGAAAAGUAAACC